GACGAACGCUGGCGGCGUGGAUUAGGCAUGCAAGUCGAACGGUAUCAUCCUUUCGGGGGUGAGAGAGUGGCGAACUGGUGAGUAACACGUAGGUUAUCUACCCUCAAGACGGGGACAACCCAGGGAAACUUGGGCUAAUACCGGAUGUGAGCAACUUUUAGUUGUUUGAAAGGUGGCGUAAGCUGUCGCUUGGGGAUGAGCCUGCGUCCUAUUAGUUAGUUGGUGAGGUAACGGCUCACCUAGGCAAUGAUAGGUAGGCGGCCUUAACGGGUGGUCGCCCACACUGGGAUUGAGAUACGGCCCAGACUCCUACGGGAGGCAGCAGUCGAGAAUAGUCUACAAUGGUCGGAAGACUGAUAGUGCGACGCCGCGUGAACGAUGAAUCCCUUCGGGGUGUAAAGUUCUUUUAUAUGUGAGCAGUGCUUCUUAUAUUAACAGUAUGGGGAAGAGAGAUAUUAGCAUAUGAAUAAGCAACGGCUAACUCGUGCCAGCAGCCGCGGUAAACUCG
rnacentral:rRNA from 1 species